GUGUCAGCAGCCGCGGUAAUACCGGCAGCCCGAGUGAUGGCCGAUAUUAUUGGGCCUAAAGCGUCCGUAGCUGGCCGGACAAGUCCGUUGGGAAAUCUGUCCGCUUAACGGGCAGGCGUCCAGCGGAAACUGUUCGGCUUGGGACCGGAAGACCGGAGGGGUACGUCCGGGGUAGGAGUGAAAUCCUGUAAUCCUGGACGGACCACCGGUGGCGAAAGCGCCUCAGGAGGACGGAUCCGACAGUGAGGGACGAAAGCUAGGGUCUCGAACCGGAUUAGAAACC
rnacentral:rRNA from 1 species